rnacentral:rRNA from 1 species
GAUGAACGCUAGCGACAGGCCUAACACAUGCAAGUCGAGGGGGAAGUUACUUUCGGGUAACAGAGACCGGCGUACGGGUGCGUAACGCGUAUACAAUCUGCCUUUCACUGGGGGAUAGCCCGAAGAAAUUUGGAUUAAUACCCCAUAGUAUAGUAAUACGGCAUCGUGAUACUAUUAAAGCUUAGGUGGUGAAAGAUGAGUAUGCGUUCUAUUAGUUAGUUGGAGAGGUAACGGCUCCCCAAGGCGAUGAUAGAUAGGGGUUCUGAGAGGGAUGUCCCCCACACUGGUACUGAGAUACGGACCAGACUCCUACGGGAGGCAGCAGUGAGGAAUAUUGGACAAUGGUCGGAAGACUGAUCCAGCCAUGCCGCGUGCAGGAUGAAGGUCUUAUGGAUUGUAAACUGCUUUUGUAAGGGAAGAAUAAGGGCUACGUGUAGUUUGAUGACGGUACCUUACGAAUAAGCAUCGGCUAACUCCGUGCCAGCAGCCGCGGUAAUACGGAGGAUGCGAGCGUUAUCCGGAAUCAUUGGGUUUAAAGGGUCUGUAGGCGGGCUGGUAAGUCAGAGGUGAAAGCGCUCAGCUCAACUGAGCAACUGCCUUUGAAACUGUUGGUCUUGAAUGGUUGUGAAGUAGUUGGAAUGUGUAGUGUAGCGGUGAAAUGCUUAGAUAUUACACAGAACACCGAUAGCGAAGGCAUAUUACUAACAAUUGAUUGACGCUGAUGGACGAAAGCGUGGGGAGCGAACAGG